GAUGAACGCUGGCGGCGUGCCUAAUACAUGCAAGUCGAGCGAAGGGGGGGGGGGGGCGUAACGCGUGGAAAACCUCCUCAAAGACUGGGAUAACGUCGGGAAACCGUUGCUAAACGUGAUACUUAUGUAUGGAUCCUCGCUGCAUUAGCUAGUUGGUAAGGUAACGGCUUACAAAGGCAACGAUGCAUAGCCGACCUGAGAGGGGGAUCGGCCACACUGGAACUGAGACACGGCCCAGACUCCUACGGGAGGCAGCAGUAGGGAAUCUGCCGCAAUGGGCGAAAGCCUGACCGAGCAACGCCGCGUGAGUGAUGAAGGUCUUCGGAUCGUAAAACUCUGUUAUUAGGGAAGCGGUACCUAACCAGAAAGCCACGGCUAACUACGUGCCAGCCGCCGCGGUAAUAC
rnacentral:rRNA from 1 species